rnacentral:rRNA from 1 species
AACGAACGCUGGCGGCAGGCCUAACACAUGCAAGUCGAGCGCGCCUUCGGGUGAGCGGCGGACGGGUGAGUAACGCGUGGGAAUAUACCCUUCUCUGCGGAAUAGCCUCUGGAAACGGAGAGUAAUACCGCAUACGCCCUUCGGGGGAAAGAUUUAUCGGAGAAGGGUUAGCCCGCGUUAGAUUAGAUAGUUGGUGGGGUAACGGCCUACCAAGUCUACGAUCUAUAGCUGGUUUUAGAGGACGAUCAGCCACACUGGGACUGAGACACGGCCCAGACUCCUACGGGAGGCAGCAGUGGGGAAUCUUAGACAAUGGGCGAAAGCCUGAUCUAGCCAUGCCGCGUGAGUGAUGAAGGCCUUAGGGUCGUAAAGCUCUUUCGCCAGGGAUGAUAAUGACAGUACCUGGUAAAGAAACCCCGGCUAACUCCG